UGAAGAUCAUCAAAGGUUAGUGCUGCAUUUAGCUGUGGUUUUGGUUUUUGUGACAUUAUAUGUUAGCUUGAAAAAUGGGUGUGUGAUUAUUUCUGGCUGGGUACUCUCCUGACAAAAUCUAAUGUUUUGCUUUCGUUGUAAAGCCUUUUUGAAAUCGGACAAUGUGGAGAGUAUUGUCUUUAAAAUGGUGUAAAAUAGUCAUAUGUUUGAAAAAUGGAAGUUUUUGGAUUUCUGAGGUGUUUGUAAUUCGCGCCACGCCCUAUCAUUGGAUAUUGGAGCGGUGUUCCGCUAGCGGAACAUCUAGAUGUAAGAGGUUUGGACCCCGUCUCCACAUUCCUCAUAUGCAUGUUCUCCCCCACACUUCUCACAUCUCCUUUUGUAUUCACACACCGCCUCCACAUGCCCAAACCUUUAUAACACAGUUACAGCAAUGCAAUGGCUUUGGAACAUAAGCUCGCACAUAGUAACUCAUAUAAUCAAUCCUAACUUUUUUUGUCAGUACCAGAUCCUCAAAGUUUAGUAGCACUGACAGGAUAUCCACCUUUUUCCCCAUCUCGUGUCAUCACAAUUUCCGGAACUCCUGUAAUAACUCCCUUCACCCACUGCCGUCUAGUUUGAUCCGGCAUGCUACUAUCAACCACACGUGUACAUACCUGCUUGAGUUUGAGUGCCUUUUUGAAUGUUUGAGUUUGAGUGCCUCAUACUGUUUAGCAUUGAUACACACCACCACCAAAUUUACAACACUAAGAACUUUAGCAGACACAACCUCUCCUACUUUACUCUCCAAAUCCCUAGUCAACGUGAUCGGACUCGCCGCUGUGACUCCACCCACGUCCUUAAAUUUCCCCAACACAGUGAACUCCACUUUUUUUAAUACAACACUGCAAACCGAACCUCCCUCGUCACUACUCUACCUCCACCUUUUUCCACUCCACCACUACGCUCCAUCCUGUCCUCCUCAACUACUAAUCCCCUAUAUUUCUAUCCAUCUCUGCUCCAGUCACAGCCCAUUGUUGCUCAACCACCUCCACCAGAUUUCACGCUCCAAAUGAAAAACCAGGCCAGAUUAAGCCUCUGACAUUCACUGUCAACUGUGGGACCUUAAAUAGACAGGUUGCUGUUCUUCACGGCAGUAUAUGCCCAGCAAGCCAGCAAAGUAUGGCAUCAAAUAUGGGUGACCUGUGACGCACAAUCCAGCUACGCUUGUAAGAUGUAAGUCUACACAGGGAAGCCGACCAGUGGAGGUCCGGAGAAGAACCAGGGGAUGCGGGUAGUGCUUGAUGUGACAGAUGGACUGAGGGGGCACAAUGUCACGUGUGACAAUUUCUUCACCUCUCAUGACCUCAGCCAGCAG
rnacentral:lncRNA from 1 species